AAAUUGAAGAGUUUGAUCAUGGCUCAGAUUGAACGCUGGCGGCAGGCCUAACACAUGCAAGUCGAGCGGUAGCACAGAGAGCUUGCUCUCGGGUGACGAGCGGCGGACGGGUGAGUAAUGUCUGGGAAACUGCCUGAUGGAGGGGGAUAACUACUGGAAACGGUAGCUAAUACCGCAUAACGUCGCAAGACCAAAGUGGGGGACCUUCGGGCCUCAUGCCAUCAGAUGUGCCCAGAUGGGAUUAGCUAGUAGGUGGGGUAACGGCUCACCUAGGCGACGAUCCCUAGCUGGUCUGAGAGGAUGACCAGCCACACUGGAACUGAGACACGGUCCAGACUCCUACGGGAGGCAGCAGUGGGGAAUAUUGCACAAUGGGCGCAAGCCUGAUGCAGCCAUGCCGCGUGUGUGAAGAAGGCCUUCGGGUUGUAAAGCACUUUCAGCGGGGAGGAAGGCGGUGAGGUUAAUAACCUCACCGAUUGACGUUACCCGCAGAAGAAGCACCGGCUAACUCCGUGCCAGCAGCCGCGGUAAUACGGAGGGUGCAAGCGUUAAUCGGAAUUACUGGGCGUAAAGCGCACGCAGGCGGUCUGUCAAGUCGGAUGUGAAAUCCCCGGGCUCAACCUGGGAACUGCAUUCGAAACUGGCAGGCUAGAGUCUUGUAGAGGGGGUAGAAUUCCAGGUGUAGCGGUGAAAUGCGUAGAGAUCUGGAGGAAUACCGGUGGCGAAGGCGGCCCCCUGGACAAAGACUGACGCUCAGGUGCGAAAGCGUGGGGAGCAAACAGGAUUAGAUACCCUGGUAGUCCACGCCGUAAACGAUGUCGAUUUGGAGGUUGUGCCCUUGAGGCGUGGCUUCCGGAGCUAACGCGUUAAAUCGACCGCCUGGGGAGUACGGCCGCAAGGUUAAAACUCAAAUGAAUUGACGGGGGCCCGCACAAGCGGUGGAGCAUGUGGUUUAAUUCGAUGCAACGCGAAGAACCUUACCUGGUCUUGACAUCCACAGAACUUUCCAGAGAUGGAUUGGUGCCUUCGGGAACUGUGAGACAGGUGCUGCAUGGCUGUCGUCAGCUCGUGUUGUGAAAUGUUGGGUUAAGUCCCGCAACGAGCGCAACCCUUAUCCUUUGUUGCCAGCGGUCCGGCCGGGAACUCAAAGGAGACUGCCAGUGAUAAACUGGAGGAAGGUGGGGAUGACGUCAAGUCAUCAUGGCCCUUACGACCAGGGCUACACACGUGCUACAAUGGCAUAUACAAAGAGAAGCGACCUCGCGAGAGCAAGCGGACCUCAUAAAGUAUGUCGUAGUCCGGAUUGGAGUCUGCAACUCGACUCCAUGAAGUCGGAAUCGCUAGUAAUCGUAGAUCAGAAUGCUACGGUGAAUACGUUCCCGGGCCUUGUACACACCGCCCGUCACACCAUGGGAGUGGGUUGCAAAAGAAGUAGGUAGCUUAACCUUCGGGAGGGCGCUUACCACUUUGUGAUUCAUGACUGGGGUGAAGUCGUAACAAGGUAACCGUAGGGGAACCUGCGGUUGGAUCACCUCCUUA
rnacentral:rRNA from 1 species